rnacentral:lncRNA from 1 species
GGAGACCUUAACUUAAUCAACAGGGGAACUGCCAAGUUCUACCAAGAUUCAGAUUUUCGUCACAGGGAAGACCACCACACUCCAGGCCAAACCCUCGGACACCACAGAAAAUAUGUAGGUUAGAAUCAAGGACAGGGAGAGAAUUCGUGCUGAUUAGCCCAGGCUGCGCUUUGCUGGCAAGCUACUGGAAGAUACCAUACAUUGACUGCAACAUUCGAAAGGAGUCCUUCCAUCUUGUAUUGAGAGUACAUGGUUGCGCAGGGCAGAGAACAACACCUUACAGCAUUCCCAAGCAGAACAAGCUGAAGGUUAUGUCGGUUGGGCGAAAUGCUGGGAGGAGGUUGAAACACCUUCAACAAGACUGUCUUUCUGACGAGUGUGGGGCUGGAGUUUCAUCCCCAGCCACUCUGAUAGACAUUACUGUGGCAAGUGUUGUCUGACUUACUGCUUCAACAAACCGGAAGACAAGUUACUGUGUAUGAGUUAAUAAAAAGACAGGAACUGAUUUAAAAAAUAACAUUAAAAAAGCAAAUAAAUCAACGAGAAGAUAUUUAUGGAUAAAGACAGGAGCUGUGGAUGCCUGAGUGAACAUUUUCA